GGAGGAUGCGAGCGUUAUCCGGAUUUAUUGGGUUUAAAGGGAGCGUAGAUGGGCUGUUAAGUCAGUUGUGAAAGUNNGCGGCUCAACCNUUGAANUGCAAUUGAAACUGGUAACCUUGAGUGCGUUUGCGGNGGAUGGAAUUCGUGGUGUAGCGGUGAAAUGCUUAGAUAUCACGAAGAACUCCGAUUGCGAAGGCAGUCCNCCAAGCCGCAACUGACAUUGAAGCUCGAAAGCGUGGGUAUCAAACAGGAUUAGAUACCCUGGUAGUCCACGCGGUAAACGAUGAAUACUCGCUGUCGGCGAUAGANUGUCNGCGGCCAAGCGAAAGCAUUAAGUAUUCCACCUGGGGAGU
rnacentral:rRNA from 1 species